AGGAGCACUGGGUAUGUACAAAUAAAAUGGCAUGGCAGGCCUUCUCUUUCCAGUUCUUCCCAGAAUUGGGAAAAGCUGGGUUGACAGGGUAAAAAAAAGAAAAAUAAAU
ensembl:miRNA